AAUUGUUCAAUCUGUUAAGCACUGAACUGGAAUAAAGUAACUCAACAAAGAUUCGUGAUUUUCUAUUGUACUUAUCUGUCACUCCUUGGAGCAAGCUUGUGCAAGAGCUAAGGCCUAAGAGGAAUGGAAUUGUAAAAUUAAUCUAAUGUCUCAUACGUGAUGUAGCAAAAAUACCAAUUCACACACACUCUGCAAGAAAUUCACUCAAUCUUUCACUCACACACACACUCUCUGCACAAUACGAACACAAUGAAUCCCCCCACCCCCCUCCCCACAUAGCUGUUCAGCUCGCCUUCAUGGCUUUCUACGUCAAUCAUCAUCUUCUCCGUUGAAAUACACCACUAUGAGCACUUCCUUCCAGAGAAAGAACUUUUUCUUCACUGAAAACAGACUUCACAAAAAAUCUCCAUUUACCCAUUUUCACAAACACCAUAUGCGCACUAUUUUGCGGCGAUGCUGUUGCUCAUUCGGUAUUUAAUCGAGUUGCCGGUUCGAGUUCAAACCCCUGUUCUUCCAGUUUUAGUCAAAGUUCUAAUUUUCCGUGGUUUUUCCAUUUUCUCAGUUCGACUCUCCUCGGAGGUUUUGGUCCAUUCUUGCAUUUGUGUUUGCGAUAUCGAGUUCGAUAUUAGCUCAUGUCAUUCUCUGAUAAAAAUGUGAACGAAUUAAUAUCUGCU
rnacentral:lncRNA from 1 species